GUGUUUAGUUUAGCAACAUAUAUACUAAAAUUGAAAUAACACAAAGAAAAUUAGCUUGGCCCCUGAGUAAUAAUGACACAUAAAUUUGCAAACUGCUCCAUUAAAAA
ensembl:snRNA U6 U6 spliceosomal RNA